rnacentral:rRNA from 1 species
GACGAACGCUGGCGGCGUGCUUAACACAUGCAAGUCGAACGGAAAGGCCCUGCUUGCAGGGUACUCGAGUGGCGAACGGGUGAGUAACACGUGGGUGAUCUGCCCUGCACUUCGGGAUAAGCCUGGGAAACUGGGUCUAAUACCGGAUAGGAGCCAUUCUUAGUGUGAUGGUUGGAAAGUUUUUUCGGUGUAGGAUGAGCUCGCGGCCUAUCAGCUUGUUGGUGGGGUAAUGGCCUACCAAGGCGGCGACGGGUAGCCGGCCUGAGAGGGUGGACGGCCACAUUGGGACUGGGAUACGGCCCAGACUCCUACGGGAGGCAGCAGUGGGGAAUAUUGCACAAUGGGCGCAAGCCUGAUGCAGCGACGCCGCGUGGGGGAUGACGGCCUUCGGGUUGUAAACUCCUUUCGCUAGGGACGAAGCUGUUUGUGACGGUACCUAGAUAAGAAGCACCGGCUAACUACGUG